rnacentral:rRNA from 1 species
CCUACGGGAGGCAGCAGUGAGGAAUAUUGGUCAAUGGACGAGAGUCUGAACCAGCCAAGUAGCGUGAAGGAUGACUGCCCUAUGGGUUGUAAACUUCUUUUAUAUGGGAAUAAAACGUUCCACGUGUGGGAUUUUGUAUGUACCAUUUGAAUAAGGAUCGGCUAACUCCGUGCCAGCAGCCGCGGUAAUACGGAGGAUCCGAGCGUUAUCCGGAUUUAUUGGGUUUAAAGGGAGCGUAGGUUGAUUGUUAAGUCAGUUGUGAAAGUUUGCGGCUCAACCGUAAAAUUGCAGUUGAAACUGGCAGUCUUGAGUACAGUAGAGGUGGGCGGAAUUCGUGGUGUAGCGGUGAAAUGCUUAGAUAUCACGAAGAACUCCGAUUGCGAAGGCAGUUCACUGGACUGCAACUGACACUGAGGCUCGAAAGUGUGGGUAUCAAACAGGAUUAGAUACCCGUGUAGUC